UACGUAGGGUGCAGGCGUUAUACGGAAUUACUGGGCGUAAAGCGUGCGUAGGCGGUUUCUUAAGUCAGAUGUGAAAGCCCCGGGCUUAACCUGGGAACUGCGUUUGAAACUGGGAGACUUGAGUGUGGCAGAGGGGGGUGGAAUUCCACGUGUAGCAGUGAAAUGCGUAGAUAUGUGGAGGAACACCGAUGGCGAAGGCAGCCCCCUGGGUUAACACUGACGCUCAUGCACGAAAGCGUGGGGAGCAAACAGG
rnacentral:rRNA from 1 species